AGUUCGAUCAUGGCUCAGAUUGAACGCUGGCGGGAUGCUUUACAUGCAAGUCGAACGGCAGCGCGGACUUCGGUCUGGUGGCGAGGGCGAACGGGUGAGUAAUUGUAUCGGAACGUGCCUAGUAGCGGGGAUAACGCCGCGAAAGCAGAAGCAUUACCGGUAUAAUACCUUCGGGGGAAAGCUUGGGACCUUUCGCCUCGCACUAUUAGAGCGGCCGAUAUCGGAUUAGCUAGUUGGUGGGGUAACGGCUCACCAAGGCGACGAUCCGUAGCUGGUUUGAGAGGACGACCAGCCACACUGACUGACGGGGCCCAGACUUUCUACGGAGGCAGCAGUGGGGAAUUUGGACAAUGGGAAACCCUGAUCCAGCCAUCCCGGCAGGGUGCGAUGAAGGCCUUCGCUGUAAAGCACUUUUGGCAGGAAACGGCACGGAUAAUACCCCGUGCAACUGAUUUACACUCUGCAGAAUAAGCACCGGCUAACUACGUGCCAGCAGCCGCGGUAAUACGUAGGGGUGCAAGCGUUACCGGAAUUACUGGGCGGUGAAGCGUGGGUGCAGGCGGUUCGGAAAGAAAGAUGUGAAAUCCCAGAGCUUAACUUUGAACUGGCUCAACUACCGAGCUAGAGUGUGUCAGAGGGAGUGUGGAAUCCUGCGUGUAGCAGUGAAAUGCGUAGAUAUGCGGAGGAACACCGAUGGCGAAGGCAGCCUCCUGGGAUAACACUGACGUCGAUGCAUCGAAAGCGUGGGGAGCAAACAGGAUUAGAUACCCUAUAGUUCCACGCCCUAAACGAUGUCAUCUAGCUGUUGGGGCCUUCGGGCCUCGGUAGCGCAGCUAACGCGUGAAGUUGACCGCCUGGGGAGUACGGUCGCAAGAUUAAAACUCCAAAGGAAUUGACGGGGACCCGCACAAGCGGUGGAUGAUGUGGAUUAAUUCGAUGCAACGCGAAAAACCUUACCUACCCUUGACAUGUCUGGAAUCCCGAAGAGAUUUGGGAGUGCUCGCAAGAGAACCGGAACACAGGCGCCGUGAAGCGGCUGCCGUCAGCUCGUGUCGUGAGAUGCUGGGUUAAGUCCCAACGGCGCAACCCUUGUCAUUAGUUGCUACGAAAGGGCACUCCCCCACGAGACUGCCGGUGACAAACCGGAGUGGAAGGUGGGGAUGACGUCAAGUCCUCAUGUCUUGCGGGUAGGGCUUCACACGUCAUACAAUGGUCGGGACAGAGGGUCGCCAACCCGCGAGGGAGCCAAUCCCAGAAACCCGAUCGUAGUCCGGAUCGCAGUCUGCAACUCGACUGCGUGAAGUCGGAAUCGCUAGUAAUCGCGGAUCAGCAUGUCGCGGUGAAUACGUUCCGGUCUUGUACACACCGCCCGUCACACCAUGGGAGUGGUUUUACCAGAAGUAGUUAGCCUAACCGUAAGGGGAGGGGCGAUUACCACGGUAGGAUUCAUGACUGGGUGAAGUCAACAAGGUAA
rnacentral:rRNA from 1 species